AUACUAAUUUCUUUAUAACCCUCGACUAAAAUUGAGAGUGAAGGGUGAAUUCCCGACAUCUCUCGGAUUAGCUUAUCGGAUCGGAUCAUGUAAGAUUGGAUCAUAGACCCGGCCUUGGUUCCCGGUAAAAAAAAAAACAAAAAAACAAAAAUACUGAGCUGAAUCGCCAUCGCUUCUAAAUCCUCUUUCCAAGUGGAGACUCUAUGGAUUGCUUCACAGCGUUGAUCUCCAGAGAUCUAUUCGCCAAAAAAGCCUUGAAACUAUGUGACACUUGAUCCAAUUUUGCAGCCAAUCAUUUCCUACCAUUUGGCUUUGGCACUACGACAUUCACAGUCAGCAAGUUUUUUGCAGAUUGAACUAGGGCCUUGGCCUAGUGGUUGUGUAGCACCACCUUGUGGUGUGAGCUUGCGAGUUCAACUCCUACGAAUAGGAGUUUCAUACUUGUCAUGUUUAUUCCUCCUCCCUUAUGGGAGUUGUAUGUAGUAGUUGCUUUUUUCUUCCCAGGUUUGGGUUAGUAGUGGUUGCUGUUUAUUUCUUCCCAAGUUUUUGGGCUAGUGGUGGUUGCUGGAUUUCGUGAUUGUUGGCUUUCUAGCUAUUGUUGGGCAAGUGGUUAGUUUAAUGUAAUAUUUCUUAUAUUUGUAAUUACACUUCUACCGAUUGACAAAAAAAGUGACAGAUUAAAGUCAAAA